AUCGUUCAUCUUCUUAUGGAAGACGGAAGUAAGCGAAAGCUGAAGGAACGCGUG
ncrna:unclassified sequences Glutamine riboswitch